UACGGAAGGCAGCAGUGGGGAAUAUUGCACAAUGGGCGAAAGCCUGAUGCAGCUAUGCCGCGUGUAUGAAGAAGGCCUUAGGGUUGUAAAGUACUUUCAUCGGGGAGGAAAAAACAAAACUAAUAAUUUUAUUUCUUGACGUUACCCGAAAAAGAAGCACCGGCUAACUCCGUGCCAGCAGCCGCGGUAAUACGGAGGGUGCUAGCGUUAAUCAGAAUUACUGGGCGUAAAGAGCACGUAGGUGGUUUUUUUAAGUCAGAUGUGAAAUCCCUGGGCUUAACCUAGGAACUGCAUUUUGAAACUGAAAUACUAGAGUAUCGUAGAGGGAGGUAGAAUUCUAGGUGUAGCGGUGAAAUGCGUAGAUAUCUGGAGGAAUACCUGUGGCGAAAGCGGCCUCCUAAACGAAUACUGACACUGAGGUGCGAAAGCGUGGGGAGCAAACGAGGAUUAGGAUA
rnacentral:rRNA from 1 species